UUCUACAAUACUGCGAACUAUUCUGGAAUUCUGAACUUUCUUUCUCAUUUGUCAGUGAGCUGGAGGGUGUUUGCGAGUACAUUGCCUCUAAAAGUUUCAUGCACUCUGCGGGAUGAAGUUUUUCCGAUAAAUGAUCUAACUCUAGUGUAUUGAAAUCUGCUGAACACGUGAUUUCCCAUGUUCCCUGCAAAUUAAUGAACAGAACUGAAAAUAUAUCAAAUCAAUUAAACAAGCAGAGAUUUAUUACGAAAUUCAACCAGAUCACCUGUAUAAUAAAUAAGUAAAUAGUAUAAAAUUGAGUUAAACUCAUCGCAAAAAUAAACCGUACAAAACCCUAGCAGUUGACAUAUUUAUCUGUCAAUUAUACCAACAAUUGAAGAACGAUUUUUUGCCGAUGCAGAAUUAACACCUUCAGCUCGUGACUUUUGUACUUUAACCUUUUGAAAAAAUUAUUUCCAUGCUUUAUACCUCUGCAAUUUAUCUGUUGAUGAUUCGACAAAUUAUCGCUGUGAAAAUGGGCCAUAUGAGAAAACCCUCGCUCGAGGCUCGCUUACGGGACCUCCUGGACCUCCCUUCCCUCCCCGAACGUUCGUUGGUCCUGCGGGAGGACAAUCAGCAGGAUACAGAGGAUCAAAGGGUGCCAGAAAUUAUCGAAAACUCUCCCUUCGAACGGUACCUUUCAUUUCCCUCUCCCCCGUCAAUUGCGAAUCCCCCGAAAAUUCCCCAUCAGUUUCAAUCCCACAGACAGAGACUCCACAACGAUUGAAAAUAUUCAGACUACUACGGUCGAAGAUGAGGACAUCUGGGAGGGGAGAUUGGACAGAAAAAAAAUUGAUAGACUUCGAGAAAAAUUGAAAACUCAUAAAUUUAUGAUUUCACUACCUGUUGCGAGUGUCAUAAUGAUUUGCACAAUGGUAAUCACCGGUUGUUGCACUUUGUACCUCAGAAGUCGAAUUGUUCGGUGUAUUGACAUGAUCAGACCGAAGAAUAAAUUGAAGUAGUAAAUAUCUGAAUAUCGACCCAGAGGUGGGCAGACGUCUCACACGAGUGAAAUUACUGCAGCAGAAGCCGCCAUCCUUGGCGGUUCCCCGUGCACGAUCAUUAUCCUACGAUUAUGUUCACGUUGCCACACAAGAUAGUGCACCAAGUGUGGAUAACACAGUAGAUACACCUCCCACCGGAUGUUACGCUUGCUGCAAGAAGAAGAAAAAGAAGGGGAAGAAGCGAAAAAAAUGAAGCAAGUGAUGAGUCUCACUUGACUUCACCUCGUUAAUUAACAAGUUCUCCAUUGUACAGGGAUUUGAAAGAUGAAUGAUCAAGUGAACGAUAUUGUUCGGUGAUCAAUCAAUUUUUACGCGCCCAUCGUUAAUGAUGAUGAAUAUAUUAUUGACGUCUGUAAAUAUACUAGGGAUGUUCAGGAGUGUUUUUUGUACUAUUGACAUAAAUCUUUCGGAGUUGGAAUAUUUAGCUGCACAUUUGGAUCCGUUUGAGUGUCGUAGGUUAGUCGCAGCCCUUCAUUAUAAGACUUAUGAACUUCCGGAGAACAUCGCCGGUGCAG